rnacentral:rRNA from 1 species
GAUGAACGCUGGCGGCGUGCCUAAUACAUGCAAGUCGAGCGAACGGACGCGAAGCUUGCUUCUCUGAUGUUAGCGGCGGACGGGUGAGUAACACGUGGAUAACCUACCUAUAAGACUGGGAUAACUUCGGGAAACCGGCGCUAAUCCCGGAUGAUCUUUUGAACCGCAUGGUUCAAAAGUGAAAGACGGCCUUGCUGUCACUUAUCGAUGGAUCCGCGCUGCAUUAGCUAGUUGGUAAGGUCACGGCUUACCAAGGCAACGAUGCAUAGCCGACCUGUGAGGGGGAUAGGCCACACUGGAACGGAGACACGGUCCAGACGCCUACGGGAGGCAGCAGUAGGGAAUCUUCCGCAGUGGGCGAAAGCCUGACGGAGCAACGCCGCGUGAGUGAUGAAGGUCUCCGGAUCGUAAAACUCUGUUAUGAGGGAAGAACAGAUGUGUAAGUAGCUGUGCACAUCUUGACGGUACCUAAUCAGAAAGCCACGGCUAACUACGUG